GCCUGGGUGGCUCAGUGGUUGAGCAUCUGCCUUCAGCUCAGGGCGUGAUUCCGAGGUCCUGGGAUCGAGUCCCACAUCGGGCU
rnacentral:tRNA from 1 species